GCCUGGGUGGCUCAGUUGGUUAAGCAACUGACUUCGGCUCAGGUCAUGAUCUCACGGCUUGUGGGUUCGAGCCCCACGUCGGGCU
rfam:Felis catus isolate Cinnamon breed Abyssinian chromosome B4, whole genome shotgun sequence.